GACGAACGCUGGCGGCGUGCUUAACACAUGCAAGUCGAACGGAAAGGCCCUGCUUUUGUGGGGUGCUCGAGUGGCGAACGGGUGAGUAACACGUGAGUAACCUGCCCUUGACUUUGGGAUAACUUCAGGAAACUGGGGCUAAUACCGGAUAGGAGCUCCUGCUGCAUGGUGGGGGUUGGAAAGUUUCGGCGGUUGGGGAUGGACUCGCGGCUUAUCAGCUUGUUGGUGGGGUAGUGGCUUACCAAGGCUUUGACGGGUAGCCGGCCUGAGAGGGUGACCGGCCACAUUGGGACUGAGAUACGGCCCAGACUCCUACGGGAGGCAGCAGUGGGGAAUAUUGCACAAUGGGCGGAAGCCUGAUGCAGCAACGCCGCGUGCGGGAUGACGGCCUUCGGGUUGUAAACCGCUUUCGCCUGUGACGAAGCGUGAGUGACGGUAAUGGGUAAAGAAGCACCGGCUAACUACGUGCCAGCAGCCGCGGUGAUACGUAGGGUGCGAGCGUUGUCCGGAUUUAUUGGGCGUAAAGGGCUCGUAGGUGGUUGAUCGCGUCGGAAGUGUAAUCUUGGGGCUUAACCCUGAGCGUGCUUUCGAUACGGGUUGACUUGAGGAAGGUAGGGGAGAAUGGAAUUCCUGGCGGAGCGGUGGAAUGCGCAGAUAUCAGGAGGAACACCAGUGGCGAAGGCGGUUCUCUGGGCCUUUCCUGACGCUGAGGAGCGAAAGCGUGGGGAGCGAACAGGCUUAGAUACCCUGGUAGUCCACGCUGUAAACGGUGGGUACUAGGUGUGGGGUCCAUUCCACGGGUUCCGUGCCGUAGCUAACGCUUUAAGUACCCCGCCUGGGGAGUACGGCCGCAAGGCUAAAACUCAAAGGAAUUGACGGGGCCCCGCACAAGCGGCGGAGCAUGCGGAUUAAUUCGAUGCAACGCGUAGAACCUUACCUGGGUUUGACAUGGAUCGGGAGCGCUCAGAGAUGGGUGUGCCUCUUUUGGGGUCGGUUCACAGGUGGUGCAUGGCUGUCGUCAGCUCGUGUCGUGAGAUGUUGGGUUAAGUCCCGCAACGAGCGCAACCCUUGUUCACUGUUGCCAGCACGUUAUGGUGGGGACUCAGUGGAGACCGCCGGGGUCAACUCGGAGGAAGGUGGGGAUGACGUCAAGUCAUCAUGCCCCUUAUGUCCAGGGCUUCACGCAUGCUACAAUGGCUGGUACAGAGAGUGGCGAGCCUGUGAGGGUGAGCGAAUCUCGGAAAGCCGGUCUCAGUUCGGAUUGGGGUCUGCAACUCGACCUCAUGAAGUCGGAGUCGCUAGUAAUCGCAGAUCAGCAACGCUGCGGUGAAUACGUUCCCGGG
rnacentral:rRNA from 1 species